UACGAAGGGUGCAAGCGUUACUCGGAAUUACUGGGCGUAAAGCGUGCGUAGGUGGUUUGUUAAGUCUGAUGUGAAAGCCCUGGGCUCAACCUGGGAAUUGCAUUGGAUACUGGCAGGCUAGAGUGCGGUAGAGGGUAGUGGAAUUCCCGGUGUAGCAGUGAAAUGCGUAGAGAUCGGGAGGAACACCAGUGGCGAAGGCGACUACCUGGACCAGCACUGACGCUGAGGUGCGAAAGCGUGGGGAGCAAACAGG
rnacentral:rRNA from 1 species